GCAAGUCGAACGCGAAAGGGGACUUCGGUCCUGAGUAAAGUGGCGCACGGGUGAGUAACGCGUGGAUAAUCUGCCCUAUGAUCGGGAUAACAGUUGGAAACGGCUGCUAAUACCGGAUACGCUCAAAAUGAACUUUUUUGUAGGAAAGAUGGCCUCUGCUUGCAUGCUAUCACGUAAGGAUGAGUCCGCGUCCCAUUAGCUUGUUGGCGGGGUAACGGCCCACCAAGGCAGCGAUGGGUAGCCGAUUUGAGAGGAUGAUCGGCCACACUGGAACUGAAACACGGUCCAGACUCCUACGGGAGGCAGCAGUGGGGAAUAUUGCGCAAUGGGCGAAAGCCUGACGCAGCGACGCCGCGUGAGGGAUGAAGGUUUUCGGAUCGUAAACCUCUGUCAGAAGGGAAGAAACUACGUUGUGCUAAUCAGCAGCGUACUGACGGUACCUUCAAAGGAAGCACCGGCUAACUCCGUGCCAGCCGCAGC
rnacentral:rRNA from 1 species